rnacentral:rRNA from 1 species
GAUGAACGCUGGCGGCGUGCUUAACACAUGCAAGUCGAACGGUGAAGGCGGAGCUUGCUCUGCUGGAUCAGUGGCGAACGGGUGAGUAACACGUGAGCAAUCUGCCCCUGACUCUGGGAUAAGCGCUGGAAACGGCGUCUAAUACUGGAUACGAGCUGCGAAGGCAUCUUCAGCAGCUGGAAAGAAUUUCGGUCAGGGAUGAGCUCGCGGCCUAUCAGCUUGUUGGUGAGGUAAUGGCUCACCAAGGCGUCGACGGGUAGCCGGCCUGAGAGGGUGACCGGCCACACUGGGACUGAGACACGGCCCAGACUCCUACGGGGGGCAGCAGUGGGGAAUAUUGCACAAUGGGCGAAAGCCUGAUGCAGCAACGCCGCGUGAGGGACGACGGCCUUCGGGUUGUAAACCUCUUUUAGCAGGGAAGAAGCGAAAGUGACGGUACCUGCAGAAAAAGCGCCGGCUAACUACGUG